UAUUAUUUUAAAAUAUUACUGCGGUUUCUCGAAAAAAUUGCAGCAAUAUGUUUGGUCAAAUAGUCAAAAUAAAUCACGUGAAAAAAGAUAAAAUAUUAACCUAUUGUUGUCGUUCUUAAAAAAACCGCAGCAAUAGGUUGUUUUAAGUAUUAAAAAAUUUGCGGCCCAACUAGGGUUUUGUUCCCCCUGCUCACUCUCUCAUAAGUCGUUUCUGUUCGCUCUCCUCUAUCUUCUCACUAUUCUCUCUCCUCUCUCUCCUCUCUCUCCUCUUCGCAUUGCGGUUCCCCCCUCUCUCUCGUCACUAUCCUCUCUCCUCUCGUGGCUCACCGUCCUUCGUCGCUCGCUAGCCUUCGUCGCUCGUGAAUCGCAACACCACCAUGGAUGAGAACCCAAAGGUCAUUGAUAAGGGUACAUUACAAUGUUGGAGUCAAAGAAAUGCAAUUUGGCUAUUGCAAUUUAAAUGGAUCAAAUCCAUUCGACUCAAAAGCAUACAACAAGAAGUAUGAAGGAAGCUGGAUUUCCUUUAAUGUUAAUGCACAAGAAUUGGGGAAGGUGGUCCCAAUGUGAACAAAAGGCCAAGAGAAGGCACACAUCAAAUAAAAAGAAGAAAGGAAGGAUUUGAUUGUUUUCUUUGGGCUAACAUCACACGCAACAAUAAGAGGGCCCUGAUUGUAUUUGGGGCUUGGAGUUUGACGUGGGUUUUGGAGGAAUAAAAUAAAAACCUAUUGGGCAGCAAACAAAGGAACAGUAGCAGUAGCACGCAGCAGACCAACAGGGAAUUGGACGAAGCAGCAGAUGACGGCAGAGCAGGAAGUAGACGACGGAACACGAGGCUUUUCGUCUGAGUUUCCGCCAUGGUUUCUUAUAAUUGGGUGAUGAUCUCUUCAAUUAUGAGUGGCUAAUUCUAUUUUUCUAGGGCUUAGAUGAAACCCUAUUAAUAUGAAUUGAUAGUUUAAUAGUGUUUGAGAAUUGAUAUUUGGUUUAUGAUUGCAUAACUAUUGAGAUUAUUAUUGGGUUGAUAAUUGGUCUUGUAGAAUUGAUUAUUGGUUUUAUUGUUAUCAAAUUUACAUA